rnacentral:rRNA from 1 species
GACGAACGCUGGCGGCGUGCUUAACACAUGCAAGUCGAACGGAAAGGCCCUGCUUUUGUGGGGUGCUCGAGUGGCGAACGGGUGAGUAACACGUGAGUAACCUGCCCUUGACUUUGGGAUAACUUCAGGAAACUGAGGCUAAUACCGGAUAGGAGCUCCUGCUGCAUGGUGGGGGUUGGAAAGUUUCGGCGGUUGGGGAUGGACUCGCGGCUUAUCAGCUUGUUGGUGGGGUAGUGGCUUACCAAGGCUUUGACGGGUAGCCGGCCUGAGAGGGUGACCGGCCACAUUGGGACUGAGAUACGGCCCAGACUCCUACGGGAGGCAGCAGUGGGAAAUAUUGCACAAUGGGCGGAAGCCUGAUGCAGCAACGCCGCGUGCGGGAUGACGGCCUUCGGGUUGUAAACCGCUUUCGCCUGUGACGAAGCGUGAGUGACGGUAAUGGGUAAAGAAGCACCGGCUAACUACGUG